GAAGUAAAAGUCGUAACAAGGUUUCCGUAGGUGAACCUGCGGAAGGAUCAUUACUGAGUGUCUGAGUCCCCAGUGGACUCAACCUCCCAACCCUUUGUGUAUCUGUCCAUGUUGCUUCGGCGGAGACCGGCUGUGCCCGCAAGGACCAGCUGCCCGCCGGAGGUUCAUUAUCAAACUCUUGUUUAGUACAGUGUUGUCUGAGUCUUUGAGAUAAUCAAAAUAAAACUUUCAACAACGGAUCUCUUGGUUCUGGCAUCGAUGAAGAACGCAGCAAAAUGCGAAAAGUAAUGUGAAUUGCAGAAUUCAGUGAAUCAUCGAAUCUUUGAACGCACAUUGCGCCCUCUGGUAUUCCGGAGGGCAUGCCUGUUCGAGCGUCAUUAACACCCCUCAAGCACAGCUUGUUGUUGGGCAUUGUCAACCGUUCCCGGCGUGACGUGUCUGAAAAGCAGUGACGGUCGACUUCGAUCUCUAGCGCAGUAUGAUCUUGUAUCACCGCUUCCGGAUCGGAUGUUGUCACCGGUCAUUUCCCCUUAAAUUUUUUUCUAAGGUUGACCUCGGAUCAGGUAGGAAUACCCGCUGAACUUAAGCAUAUCA
rnacentral:rRNA from 1 species